CUCAUUUUGAUGAGGUUUUAUAUUUGGUUAUGACUAGGUGACCGCUAAUGGACUAGAAGUUGAUCGUUCUCAAGGGUCAUUCUUUUGAUCGUUCUAGCUCGACUUUGAGGUAAAGGCAAGAGGAAGCUGGACCAUCCUUGAGUUGGAGAGCUUAGGUGAUGACGUGUACAUAUGCAGCUGCUCGUCCGCCACGGCCGAGGUUUUAAAGUGGAACUAGGGUUGAACCCUGUUUUGCCGCUUAGAACGGCCUGUUGUAAAUAUUUUCUGUAAUAAACUCUGAAACUUUAUUUUCGGGAUCCCAAUGUAUAAAUUAAACGUUCUAGUGAAACGUUACAUCCUAACCAAA